CCCAGACUCCUACGGGAGGCAGCAGUGGGGAAUAUUGCACAAUGGGGGAAACCCUGAUGCAGCGACGCCGCGUGAGUGAAGAAGUAUUUCGGUAUGUAAAGCUCUCUCAGCAGGGAAGAAAAUGACGGUACCUGAUUAAGGAGCCCCGGCUAACUACGUGCCAGCAGCCGCGGUAAUACGUAGGGGGCAAGCGUUAUCCGGAUUUACUGGGUGUAAAGGGAGCGUAGACGGUGAUGCAAGUCAGAAGUGAAAGCCCGGGGCUCAACUCCGGGACUGCUUUUGAAACUGUGUAACUGGAGUGCAGGAGAGGUAAGCGGAAUUCCUGGUGUAGCGGUGAAAUGCGUAGAUAUCAGGAGGAACACCAGUGGCGAAGGCGGCUUACUGGACUGUAACUGACGUUGAGGCUCGAAAGCGUGGGGAGCAAACAGGAUUAGAUACCCGCGUAAC
rnacentral:rRNA from 1 species